rfam:Dialister sp. CAG:357 genomic scaffold, scf51
CGGACACACUCUGGAGAGUCUCACAAAUGAGCGCCGAAGGUGUAAGGAUCGCAAGGUCCCAAUCUCUCAGGCAAAAGGACAGAGCAUAAAGA